rnacentral:lncRNA from 1 species
GUAUACAGCACCAAGAGUUGAGUAACUUCCUCCCUCUUCUUCCUUUCAUCACAGCCCUGUGUAAUGCCAAAAGAAUUUCCCCUGAAGGCUUUCCUGGCUCGCCCCAGCAAGCUUUUAGGGCAACGAGGUGUCUACAGGAAGAGAUUUUUAAUCCUAGUGGAAACACCAGGAUCCAGCAUUUUGGUCAAUGUCUUCAAGGCAAAGUUUGGAAGGUACUACUGGCUCAUCGCUUAAAACUGGAAAAGCAACCUGCCAAAAUAAUUUUUAGGCACCAAUGUGAAUGAACUUGUCCUGCCUACUGAGUAGCAGCAAGGAGGUAGGCAUAUCUUUUCAAUGGUUUAAUUGAGCAAUGUACUUAUUUAUGAUUUCCUAAGAAUAAAUAAUGACAAAUAUGCA